rnacentral:rRNA from 1 species
CCCGCUGAACUUAAGCAUAUCAAUAAGCGGAGGAAAAGAAACUAACAAGGAUUCCCCUAGUAACUGCGAGUGAAGCGGGAAAAGCUCAAAUUUAAAAUCUGUCAGUCUUUGGCUGUCCGAGUUGUAAUCUAGAGAAGUGUUAUCCGCGCUGGACCGUGUACAAGUCUCCUGGAAUGGAGCGUCAUAGAGGGUGAGAAUCCCGUCUUUGACACGGACUGCCAGGGCUUUUGUGAUGCGCUCUCAAAGAGUCGAGUUGUUUGGGAAUGCAGCUCAAAAUGGGUGGUAAAUUCCAUCUAAAGCUAAAUAUUGGCGAGAGACCGAUAGCGAACAAGUACCGUGAGGGAAAGAUGAAAAGAACUUUGGAAAGAGAGUUAAACAGUACGUGAAAUUGUUGAAAGGGAAACGCUUAAAGUCAGUCGUGUCGGCCAGGGAUCAACUCAGCUUUCUUUGCUGGGUGUACUUCCUGAUCUGAUGGGCCAACAUCAGUUUUGACUGCUGGAGAAGGAUAGAGGGAAUGUGGCACCUUUGGGUGUGUUAUAGCUCUCUGUCAGAUGCAGUGGUUGGGACUGAGGAUUGCAGCAUGCCGCAAGGCCGGGUCGUUUCGACCACGUUCAUGCUGAGGAUGUUGGCAUAAUGGCUUUAAUCGACCCGUCUUGAAACACGG